GAGCGCUCAGAGCUGCUCUGGCCGCGGCCCUGGGAGCUGGUGGAGCCGCGGUAGGUGGCGGAGGGCAGGUGGCGCUGGGGCCUCGGGGCGGGCACCUCGGCCGUCCCUCCUCCUUCCCUUGCUCCCCUCCCCCAGACCAGCCGUCCGCGCGGCCCGGCCUCACAGGCCGCCUCCGCGGGGUGAGCACGGGACCUGGUGGGGGAGGGGGUGUCGGAGUCUUAAGUCCCAGACCCUCCCCAUCCCUAGUGUCCUGAGUUCGCUUCCCGCGGCCAGAUGUUGGAACCCGAGUGGGAAGAGGCCAGCGACAGCCCCUACCUCUGAAAGAGCUUCCCCCCCCCCCGUGGGGGGGGUUAGCGUACGCCCCAUGCCCCACCCCGCGGGGACAGUCAGGGCAACAGAGGGAGAGGUUGAAGAUUGGAGGGGGCCUAGCCUUUUGCUUCUUCAUCGGGGUGGGGGGAGGGGUGCUCCCCACUUGUCACCCCUAUCCCCACAAGAACCAUAUGGAAAAAGAGCAGUCAGAUCCCCACUUACCUGUUCUUGUACCUCCCUUCCUCCCUCGUGUUUUCCUUCAUUCUCCACCAGAGGCGAGGGGCUUGGACCUGGUGGGGGAAGAUCCCCAGGGGAUUUGUGACUCUCCUGUCCCUUGGCCUUACUUGAUCCUAGGUUGUUCAGUUUUCCGCACAACCCAAGCAUCCCUGAAGCACAAGUGUCAGGGGUUACUAUUGACCAAUAGCAGUGGAGUGGGGGUCUAAUCUUUAUUUUAGGGGGCUUGUGUUGGAAGAGCCUAGACUGUUAGGCCUGGUGGGGUUGCUGGAAGGGCCUAGCGGCCUGCUGGUCUGUAAAGGGCUGAGCCCCUUGCCAGUUAGGCUGAGAAGUUUUAAGUUUAGUGAACGUUCAGGGCUGUCUCUACCUCUUAGAUACACAAAAUGGAAGGGGUAGGAAGGCGACAAGAGAGGGCUUCUUAACACUUUUUUCAGUGCCUGCUUGAGAAAGAGGAGGCCCCUCGCGGAGCUGGUUUGCCUUCUUUUGUGUCCUGGUUUGAUUCCUUAUGGCUUCCGUUCCCCCUUUCAGCCUGGCCUGUUUUAGGAAACUCAGGUUGAGAGUAUCAGUUGUGUGGUAGUAGUUGCAUUGUUCCAGUUACCGCUGUGUGUGGCCACAUCCCAAUAAUUAAAAUGCAGAAAAACACAAAAUCACUCACUUCACUUGAUCCUAGAGAGGGUGGGAGUUUGCUGCUUGUUCAAAGCCCUCAUGAAAAGCUUGAAAGAGUUUGCUUUACUCCGUGCUCCUCUUGACUGGUCAGCCUGAGGCCUGGGGUCUCUAGGGUAAAAGCCUGCAGUUAAGUUCCUCUCUGGUUGAUCUUUGAGAGCAGAGUUAAGAAACCAGGAGCAGAAGUGAUAUGAGCUUUAGUUUCUCUCACAAGAACAUGGGAGAAACAACUGAAAGGAGCUUGAAGGAAGCAGGAACUUUGUUCAGGGUGGUAGUAAUAAUUAUGCAUGAAAAUUAUAGUUAACUAUAAUGAUGAUUGAUUUCUGCGUCUUUCUUCCAAAGAACUCAAAAUACAUCCAAGUGUAUUUCUUUGCUUUUCCUUGUGGCCUCCUUCUGAAGUGAGAAUUGGGUAGGGAUAAUUCCCUCCUUUGUAGAGUGUGAUCUGCCCCCAAGGUCACAGAAGGAAGUACUGCCUUAGGCUUCCUUCCUUGGUGAGCAGGUAAGGGAGGAUGGCAUCCAACCAGAGAGAGACCCUAUUGCCUUCUUCAUCUUAAUGAUACCAUCACUUCUGGCAUGCCAAGGCUUUGAAGAACAACAAACAGAAAGAAUGAGAAACAGCAGUCUGUGUGGGCUCCUGAUUUUUAUAGGUCAGAUGGUAUGUUUUUGUAUAUUUUGAUAUAUGAUGUUAUAUCAUUCCUAUGAGAGAUUAAGAUUAUUGUAUCCAUUUUACUUAUGAGUGAACUGAAGAAUGUGAAGUGAUUGCCAAAACUGCCUCAGCUAAUUUGAUUAAGACAGAUUUCUUGAUUUUUACAUGAGCUAAUGCUACAUACAUUUUCAGGUGAGCUAUCUCUGUGCUGGUCAUUUCUGGUUCUCCCUGCCUCAAGACACUAGGUUAAGCUGGGCAUGGUAGUACAUUCCUGUAAUCUCAGUGGUUUGAGAGGCUGAGACGGGAGGUUCGCAAAUUCAUGGCCAGCCUCAACAACUUAGAGAGAUCGUAUCUCAAAAUAAAAAAGGCUGGGAUAUGGUUUAGUAGUAAAGUGCCCCUGGGUUAAAUCUCUAGUAACAAACAGAAGAACCUGGGUUAUCCUCCCCUUUUCCUUUGAGCAAGGCUCCUUAAGCAAUUGUGUGGGCUUGAAGCCUGUUCUCUAGUAAGAGUGAGUUAGCUUCCCCAUCAGAAUUCAAACAUGAGAAAGAAUCUUGAUUGAUUAUAUUCAUGGUCUUUUGCAGAUAUUCUAACAACUUAGUUGAAUGAAGUCAUGAAGUUUUUUUUUAAUCUGUGUAGUUGAAAUAUAAUUGGAAUUAUCCUGACCAUUUAUAGGAGAAUACACAAAGAUAUCUAUAAAAUAAUAAUAUAUCAGUUGUUCAGGCUAUGAGAGGACAUAAAAUCUUAUUUACUCUGGUCUAAGUCAUGCUUAUAGCCAUUGCCCCUCCUUGUAUUCUAUUUUGUAGUUUAGGAGAAGGUACCUCUCUUAGUUUCUGAGUGGAAGAUAAAUACUGGGCUAAUCAGGAUGGAAAUAACCAUUUGGGCUCUUUUCUAAGUGGUUCUGAUAUUCCAGAUAGAAAUGGCAGAGCAUGAACCAGGUUAGGAAUGGUAAAUAGGUUUCAACCUAUUGCUUGAGAACUCCAGUUUAUUUUACUAGAUAUCUGGAGUUCCACGUUCAGUAUGUUUCUGAGGCUAUGUUUAGGCUUAUCAGGAGCAAGCUGUGAUCAAUUAAUAUUAUCUGCCAGAGGCUUGGCAUAGUGGUGCUGUGGUAUGUGUGCCAUGCAUUUUCCAUCACUGGACCAGGUAUAUCUCUAAUAUCACUUGGGGCUGGUCCCUCUGUAAUUGGCAGACUCAGCAGGCAUGACUGGAGAGGGAAGUCCCAAUGGUGCUAGAAUGGUGCUGCAGUGGCAGAAGACGGCUCACGAGUGAGGUCUGGAAGAACGACAGGGAAGACAUCCAUCAUUUGCUCCAAAGUGUGCAAGUAAAAUCCUGGGGAGAAUCAUGAUAACCUUGAUCACUGAGCAGCUACAGAAACAGACUCUGGAUGAGCUGAAAUGUACACGCUUCAGCAUCAGUCUGGUAAAAGACCAGUCUUCCUGCUUCUCCAUGGCCCCUCCCCCUUUUUUCUGAGGCUGUUUGUUGCUACUACUUUACCCUUGUCCUGUAGUGUAUAAUUAUUGUACUUGUACUGAAAGAGGCCACUAAUGGCUUAGAACCCAGCCCAAAAGGAAGGGGGCAGGGAUUUUUCCAUUGAUAGAGAAGGGAUAUCAAAAUUGGGUGGAAAAGGGUUUGAGAAAUUAGAAGAUGUGGAUUGUUCUACUAAGUCUCUAACACCCCUAUAGCAAAUGAAUUGCAGGAAAGAAUUUAAGAGGGCUUUCUAGAAAUUUGUCAGUGUGCCCUGAACCUAAAUCAUGAUAGCUAUUCUUUCUUUCUUAGCCUUUGCCUGAUCAUGCAGACAUCUCCAACUGUGGGAACCCUUUCCAGCUUGUGUCUGGUAAGGCAUCAUGUGUGUGUUUUGUGUAUGUGUUCAUGCCUCUAUCCAUGUAUUUCUUUCACUGGUUUCCAGUGACUAGGACUAACUAACUAUUUUAGUUAGCAAGAACAGUCUUAGAAGAGGAUAAGUUUAUUUAGUACUCAUAGUUUCAGAGGUCUCAAUACAUAGAUGGCCACUCCAUUGUUCUGGUGAGGCAGAACAUCAGGGUAGAAGGGUAUGACAGUGGAAAGCAAUUCAGAACAUGACAGUCAGGAAGCAGAGAUACCACUCACCAAGUCACCUGGGACAAAAUACAAACCCCAAAGGUACGCCUCCAGCGACCUAUCUCCUUCAGCCAUACCCUACCUAUGUCCUGUUAUUACCUAGUUCAUCCAUUCAAGUGGGUUAUCACACUGAUUAGGUUAAGGCUGAUAACCCAAUCAUUUCACCUCUUAAAAUUUCUUGCAUUAUCUCACACAUGAGCUUUUGAGGGACACAUCAUAUCUAAACCAUAAUAGUAGCCUACCUCUAGAACUUUUUUCUUGCCAGGGUCACUCUGAGAUUGGCAUAUGUCUCCAUUUUACUGCCUUAGAAUAAAAGUUUUCUGUUUGUGCCUUUGGGGACUUAGUUAGCUUAUAUAGCUUAUAGCUUAUGGAGACUUUUUAAAUCUUUUUUUUUUUUUUUUUUUUUUAAUCCCGGAUGCUUUACCACUGAGCCAUAUCCCCAGUCUUAUAGUUUUUGAAUUAGGGUCUCAUUAAGUUGCUGAGGCUGGCUUUGAGUUUGUGAUCCUUAUGCUUUAGUCUCCUGAGCUGCCGAGAUUAAGGUGUGUGCUCCUGGCCCUUUUUAUUUAUUUUGAGAUAGGGUCUUGUUAAGUUGCUGAGACUGGCUUGGAACUUUCAAUCUUUCUGCCUCAGACUCCUGAGUCCCUGAGAUUUCAGGCAGACACCAUCGUACCUAGCUAAUCUAAUUUUUAAAUAGGUAGUACAUUUAUAUAGUUCAAAAAAUUUUGAAUACCAACCAAAAGUUUAUACUGAUAAAAGUAUAUUCUUUACCAGGCAAGGUGGGGCAUACCUAUAAUAUCAGCUACUUGGGAGACUGGGGCAGGAAGAUUGCAAGUUUGAGGCUAGCCUCAGCAAAUUAGUGAGGGCUUAAGCAACUUAGUGAGAUCCUGUCUAAAAUUAAAAAAAUAAAAAUAAAAAAGGCUGAGGUUGUAGCUCAGUGGUAGAGCACUCCUGGGUUCAGCCCCCAGCAUCACACACAUAAAAAAGUCAUCUUCUCCUAUCUCUUGUUCAUCCAGCUCCUACCACCUCCCUAAAAAUAACUCUUAGACCUGGGGUUAUUGCCUUUACAUGCAUGAAGUCCUGGGUUCAAUCUCUAGUACUGAAGGGGAAAAGAAAAAAAAGCCACUCCUAUUAUUAAUUUCUUAUAUACUUAACUGGAAUUUCAUUAUACAGUUAAAAGCAAAUACAAAUGCAUAUAUUUAUUCCCACUUUUAAACAUAUGUUAUGCUACAAUCUUUUUUUGGUACUGGAGAUUGAAGCCAGAGGGGCUUUACCACUGAAUCAUAUCCCCAACUCUUUUUACUUUGAAACCAGGUAUUCCUGAGUUGCUGAGGCAGGCUUGGAACUCCUGCUUCACCAGUUGCUAGAAUUACAAGUGUGUGCCACCACCACUCCUUGGCCCCCCCUUUUUUUUUAAUAUAGCCAAGAUGGGUUUUCUGAAGCAAGAGGAUUCUAAGUAUAAGGCCUCAGUAACUUAGAGAGACUGUCAGCAACUUAGUGAGACCUACUCUCAAAAUAAAAAAGAAGCCACAUGCAGUGGUAUAUAUGUGUAAUCCCUGUGAUUCAGGAGACUGAGAAAGGAUUGCAAGUUUGAGACCAGCCUGGCCAAAUUAGGGAGACCCUGUCUCAAUAAAAUAAAAAGGGCUGGGUAAAAUACCCCUGGGUUCAAUUCCCAGUACUGCAAAAAAUAAAAAUAAAUAAAAAGUUAAAAAGAACUGGGGAUAUAGCUUAGUGAUAAAGCAACCCUAAGUUCAUUUCCCAGUGCCCCCUUCCAAAAUACAACUAGGAAAUCUUUCCCUAUCAGUAUGCUGAGCAUUUCCUUGUUUUAUGUAGCAGCAUCUUAUUAUACUGAAAAAAAUAUACCAUAGUUUAUUUAACCAAUCUCCUAUUGAUGUAUAGUUAGGUUAUUAUUUAUUUAUUUUUUGGUAUGUAAAUUUGUGUUUUUCUUUUAGUACUUGAAAUUGAACCUAGGGAUGCUUUACCACUGAGCUAUAACCCCAGCCCUUUUUGCUUUUUAUUUUGAUACAAGGUCUCACUAAGUUCCUUACAGGCUUGCUAAGUUGCUGAGGCUGUGAUCAAUGAUAAAUAAACUUGUGAUCCUCUUGCUUCAGCCUCCUGAAUUUUGGGAUUACAGGUUUGAUUACUGUUACUGGCAGUUUAGGUUAUCUAAUCUUCUGUUCACUAUAUAAAACCUGUACACAGGUCAUUUUUAAUUGUUUAUUUUGUGGUACAGGGAUUGAACCCAGGGUAGUCUACCAUUGAACUACAUUCUUGGCCCUUUUUAUUUUUUUUAUAUCAAGACAGGCUUCUCACUAAAUUACUGAGGGCAGGCAUUGAACUUGCAACCAUCCUGCCUCAACCUCCCAAAUAUCUGGGAUUAUAGGCAUGCGCCACCAUGCCUGGCUCAUAAGUCAUUUUUCACAUGUGAAAAUAUAUCUGAGGUGGAAAUUCCUAGGUUAUGAACUAGGGCCUAUUCAUAGGCAUAACUAAUAGACAGCCAGAAAUCUCUAAUCCAUGCUGCUGGGUUAUUCAGCAUCUCAUUUUCUUUUCUGGGAUAGUUGGCAAGGAAAGUGGAUUGGGAAAAGCAUCUUCAUUCAGUCUUUUCCUACUGUUAAACACUUGAUGAAAGCCAGGUAUUAUGCCAUAAGUACCCUUAAAGACCCAUGGUCCCUGAUUUCAUGGAAGUUACAAACAGAGGAAUUAUUGGCUGAAUUGAGUUAGCUAAAAGUUUUGUCAUCAAGUUUGACUUCAUAUACUAGCCAACUAGACAGAGGAGCUUGAAGUAGGCCCUUUCUCAGUGUGCUAUUUCCCAAAAGUUGAUUUUUGAUUGGAUCAUUCUUUUUAGCCCAUUUCCCCUUCCUUCUCUUGGCCCCAUCUGUUUGGCUUUAAGAGAAGGCCAAAGAGAAGGGAAUCAGAGUAUUUGGGUAGCCAGACAGAACGGAACAUCAACAGUUCAAAGUCUUAGGGUUUCCCAAGCACAGAUUCUAUCAUCAAAGGUCUUCCCCAUUCUGUUUUUCCUCUCUAGGAAUAAACAAUAAACAGGCCUUAGGAAUAAAAGUUAUCUCCCACCUGCUUAAUUACCUCUUACUUCUUGGCAGCCCUGAAAUUCUGUUCGUCCUGUUGACAUAUGAGAAGGGAGAAGGCCAAGGAAAGAAAGUAUAGUCUGCUUUUCAGAACCUGGGCAGGGAGCAAGGAGGAGUGGUUAGAAAUAGGGUUAGAUGGAGUGGAGUGAGGGUAAGCCUGGCACACACAGAGACGUGUUUGUUUCUCAUGUAAUGUUUUAUCUUUGAAAGUGAGUUGAAGGCAGCAUAUGAAAUACAGGUUUUUGUUUUGUUUGUAGUGCUUGGAAUCGAAUCUAGGGCCUUGCACAUGCUAGGCAGGCACUCUACCUCUGAGCCCUCAAAUAGUUUUUUUGUUUUUUAUAGUACCAGGGAUUGAACCCAGGGGUGUUAACCACUGAGAAGCAUCCCCAGCCCUUUUUUAUAUUUUAUUUAGAGUCAUGGUCUUACUGAGUUGCUAAGUGCCUUGCUAAUCUGCUGAGAUUGGCUUUGAAUUCCCAAUCCUUUUGCCUCAGCCUCCUGAAUUGCUGGGAUUACAGGCGUGUGCCACUGCACCCAGCCUGAAAUGUUUUUGAUUCUAGGUGAUUUCUCAAAGGAGAGGCAGUAUAGUAGAGUGGGUUUAAAAUACAAAAACAACAACAACAACAACAAAAACUUGAUAUCACACAGACCUGGAUUUGAAUCCUGUUUGAUUGAUUUAGUAGGUACUGGAGAUUGAACCCAGAGGUGCUUUACCACAAAGCCACAUCCACAGCCCUUUUUAUUUUUUAUUUUGAGACAGUCUCUCAGUAAUUUGCUUAGGGCCUUGCCAAGUUGCUGAGACUGGCUUUGAAUUUGCAAUCCUCCUGUCUCAGCCUUCUGAGUUGCUGGGAUUACAGGUGUGUACUUCCAUGCCCAGCUGCUUUAGUCAUUUGACUGCUAAGCUAUUUGGGGCAAGUUAUUGAACUUGUCUCAUGUGAAAUGAGGAUAAUCAUAAUACCUCUCUUAUAGAGGUUUUUGGGAAACCACAUGAAGUUCUCAGUACAUUGUGUGUCAGAUAAGCUCUCAGAAAGUGUUAGCUCUCAUUAAUAUUUUAUUAUGAAUGCCUUCCAGAAGGUGCUUCCUGGAGGGGCCUGCCCCACUGUUCCUGUGCUGAGUUCCAAGACAGCCUCAACUUCAACUAUCACCCCUCAGGCUUAAGCCUGCACCUCAGACCACCCAGUAGGGGAAGCUCCCCACAGGAGCAACCCCUCUCCCAAGUCCUAAGCCCUGAGCCCCCAGACCCAGAGAAGCUUCCUGUGCCCCCUGCCCCUCCAUCCAAGAGGCACUGCCGUUCACUCUCAGUGCCCGUGGACCUGUCUCGCUGGCAGCCAGUGUGGCGGCCCGCCCCCUCCAAGCUGUGGACUCCAAUCAAGCAUCGGGGCACUGGUGGAGGGGGUGGGCCGCAGGUGCCUCACCAGAGCCCCCCCAAGCGGGUCUCCAGCCUCAGGUUCCUCCAAGCUCCCAGUGCCUCUUCUCAAUGUGCCCCAGCCCACAGACCCUACAGUCCCCCUUUUUUCAGUCUGGCCCUGACCCAAGAUUCCUCUCGACCCUGUGCCACCUCCCCUCAAAGUGGCUCCUGGGAGAGUGAUGCUGAGUCCCUGUCACCCUGCCCACCCCAGCGCCGCUUCUCCCUGUCACCCAGCCUGGGCCCACAGGCAAGUCGCUUCUUGCCGUCUGCCCGGAGUUCCCCUGCAUCUUCCCCGGAGUUACCCUGGCGACCUCGAGGUCUCCGUAACCUUCCCCGAAGCCGCUCACAGCCUUGUGAUCUGGAUGCCCGCAAGACUGGGGUCAAGCGGCGCCACGAGGAGGAUCCCCGGCGUCUGCGGCCUUCCUUGGACUUUGACAAGAUGAAUCAGGUGGGACCAAUGUGAUGGGGAGAGCUUGGAUAGGAAUGUGUGGGGGGGGUCGGGGCAUCAUUUUUAUUCCUUCUUUUGAGCUGUCUCCUUGUUAGAGCUUCCCUGAAAGCUCUUUUCUGUCUGAGCUUUAUCUUAUUUUUUUAAUGGUACUGGAGAUUUAGCUAGGGCCUAAUACAUUCAAGGCAAUUGCUCUACCACUGAUCUCCAUCCCAAGCCCUUAUUUUAUUUUGAGACAGGGUCUUACUAAGUUGCUGAGGUUGUCCUGAUCCUCCUACCCCUGCCUCCCUAGAGGCUGUGAUUAAGUCUGUGAUUAUAGGCAUGUGACAUCAUACCUGGCCUGUCUGAGCUUUUGGUAAGAUGAUCCACCAACCUGGUUUGCAUUGGACUGUUCAAUUUUAGCACUGAAUGUCUUUUUUUUUUUUUUUUUUAGUUGUUAAUAUAACUUUAUAUGUGGUGCUGAGAAUCAAACCCAGUGCCUCACACAUGCUAGGCAAGUGCUUCUACCACUGAGCUACAACCCAGCUCCCUGAAAGUCUUGUCUUGUGAGAUUCCUCAGGCCUAGGGGUCACAGAGAAACUGGAGUGCAACCCUUGUUACACCUUCCAAAGGGAUCCCAGAUUGUCCUGCCAGAGGCAUUUUGCUUCCUCUGUAGGAGUACAUAAACCACAAGCCAGGUAUGGUGGUGUAUACCUGUGAUCCCAGCAACUCAGGAGGCUGAGGUAGGAGGAUCACAAGUUCAAGGACAGCCUCAGCAACUUAGUGCGCCCUCAGGAAUUUAGUGAGACCAUGUCUCAAAAUAAAAAAUAAAAAGAGCUGAGGAUGUAUCUCAGUAGUAAAGCACUCCUGGGUUCAAUCCUCAGUACCCCCAAUCCCCCCAAAAAGAGUGCAUAAAUCACAAAAGUCCCAUCACCAGUGAGUGCCCUAUUCCUCCUAGCCCUCUGGGCUGGUUUUGACACUUGCCUUUCACUGCUUCACAUGGGCCCGUGAGAGGCUUAAACAGAUGUUUAUCUGUUCAAUCAGUGUUUUCUGGCAUCCUAAUGUGAAUGCAGUUGUUGUAUAUACUUGCCUGCUUUUUUCAUGUUCUUUCUAGAUCAUUGGGUCACAAGUCUCUUUGAGAAUUUGUUCAUUUAUUCGUAACUGUCAUCCAACCACACAGCAAGCACUUAUUGAAAACCUACUAUAUACUUACUUGAUUCUGACUAGAGACUAGCAGAACAGUCAACUGAUGUUCCUGUCUGCAUGGACCUUAUAAAUGAGCUUCUAUCCUUGAAUCUGUUGGAAACCAGAUUCUCUUUCCUCAGAGAAAUUUGUGUUUGUAUAGUAAAUUUUCCAAAUUUUUUAUCAGGAUGCUUAUCAACCUCACCCUAAAACCUAAAAUUCCUGCCUUCAAGUGUAACUGAGAAGGGACACUUUGAAAUAUAUCUUAAGAUGCUGUAGGAAAUAUUAUUUUUUUCUUCAUCUUCUAACUUUGUCUUUUUUUUUUUUUUUUUGACAGAAACCCUACUCAGGAGGUCUCUGUCUCCAAGAAACAGCCCGGGAAGGCAGCAGCAUCUCUCCACCGUGGUUCAUGGCCUGUAGCCCCCCACCUCUCUCGGCUUCCUGCAGCCCCAUUGAGGGUUCCUCCCAGGUGCUGAGUGAAAGUGAAGAGGAGGAGGAGGGGGCUGUGCGGUGGGGGCGGCAGGCACUGAGCAAGCGGACACUGUGCCAGCAGGACUUUGGGGACCUGGACUUGAAUCUGAUUGAGGAGAACUAAAACUGAGAGGCUACUUCCUGGGGCCACACAGACUGACUCUCUUAUGGCUACUAACAAGUGUCGAGGCCCCAAGGCUGAGGGCCCAGCCUGGGAAUGGGGGUGAGUGGAGGGCUCCGACUCAGGGCAGCCGGAAAUCUUCUCGCUCCAGCAAGCUCGACCAUGCCAAGAGACUGGCCGGGACAAGAUAAACGGAGCUGGUGGCGGGAGGGACAGCCCCAGAGCAGACCCUUUCCAUGGCGGCCCUGAGUGUGAGUAUCCCUGCCGCUGAGAGAGCAAUGGGCAGGGAAGGAAGGGGUCUGCUGACCCCAGCUCGGGGAAUUUCACUAGCCCCUUUGCUUCAAAGGGCACUUGUGUCUUAGAAUUUGGCCAGGGUGGGGGGUUCAGUCAGCCUCCUCAGAGAAAUUGUGUGAGAGUGUGUGCGUGCAUGGGAGUGUACUUGAGGAGAAAAGUGUGUUUGCAUAGCCUUAGGGAAGGAAGGCAGUUGCUCCUUAACAACAGAGCAUCAUGAUACCCCAAGGAUCUUGAGUUUUUAAGGGGACAGUGGGCUUAUUCAAGGAGCCAAGAGGAUGGCUCCAAGUUUUCCUUUUUUUCUAAAGAGCUCUGGAACCAGGCUUAUAAUCCAUAGCAACACUGGCUCUGCAAGGGAUACUGUUUUGGGGUACACCAGGGCCUUUUAAGUGAUGUGACCUCAGCUAAUGGUCUUUUCCUCAGUCCCACCCCCUCCCACUAGAUCUAGUAUUGAGGGCUGCAGGGGUUGCCAUGUUUAUUCUGAGCUGGCCUGUUUUUUCUCAUCAGAUUGUCUAGGCCAUAUACAACUUGCCUCUCUGGCUCUCUGUGUAGAUGCAACAUGUGGGCAACAUGAGACUGGGCUGAAGGGCUCUGUGUCUUUUUCAUUGAGGGGACCUCUUCCUCUUAUCUUCUGACCAUCCAGUUUAGAGACAAGAUAGCAAGGCCCUAUCUUGGUCCCCACCAUCUUUUGAGGCAGACUUGCAACAAGAGUAGUAGCAUUCAGUCCCCAGCAGAAAGGGGUAAACUUGCCCUAGCACUGCCCUUUGGAAGCAGUCUGUAAGGAGACCUAUUCUUAUAAGAACCAGGCCCAGACUCUUUUCUGACAUGCUUGAGAAAGAAGAAGGGGUGAUCAGCAUUUAAUAGUUUGCUUAUCUUCCACUUCUGCCAGGAAAUGUUUAUUUUCUUCUAAUUGGCCCUGAGAGACCACAAGGAGGUUGGGGCUCACUGAGGGAUUGGCUAAGGAUGUGUAAAGCAAAGGCUGUGAGAAGCAGCUGGGAGUUUGUUGUUGUUGGAUUGAAUUUCCUUUUUUGUUUCUCAUCCACAACUUGAGCCAGGGCAGCAGGUCUCGGUGGCCUCAGUGGUGGAUUUGAGGACUAUAGAGCUUGUUAGGGCUGGCACCAGUGAAUAUGCAUACUGAAGCUGCUGCCAUAGUAGCCUAUAAGGUUUUGUCCAGCUUUGGUUAGACCCUGCAUGACCAAAUUGGACCUGCUCUUUCUGUUUAUUGCAAGAAGAGCAUUUUUCUGUUCAAUUUCCAGGGUGUCUUAGGACCCAAUUCCUCAUGAUAGGGAAGAAGACCAAAUUCUGUUUUUUCUUCCUUAUGGAAUUGAGCCUGACAUUUUAUAUAUCGUGUCAGAAUCAGAGGCUUUGGCCUCCUUGCCUCCACUUCAGAGGAGGUGGCCAUGUCUUCUUGAGCCUGUGGCCCUCAGAGGCUCUACCCUUCCAGGGCUCCUCCCAUCUCCUUGCUAGUUACCACAUAUUGCCACUUGGGCUACCAGGUCUCUAGGGGCCUGAGAGAGGCUCUCUAGAGAAUCCAGGGAAACUGUGAGCCCAGGAGUUGCCCAUCAUUGGUUUCAUCCCUCCCCUGGUUCUUCUCUCCCUCUUCAGGCCAUAAUUUCCCUGGUGCCGACUUCUUUUCCUCCUGGGGCAUCCUCAUCCCUGGGCUCUCUGCUGCAGAUUGGCUGUGCCAGUUUCCAGUAGUUCACUGGCAAUGCCAGCAGGGUCUCUAUAGGCCCUAAACUGAAGAAAUGAGAGCAGUGGUUCAGCUCCAUCCUGGCUUCCUUAGCACCUAGGGGAGAAGGUCUACAGUUGUUGUAUUUUAAUUCCAUUACUUUAAGUCUGGAAAGUUCAACUAGUCAGAACUAUCAUCUUGCUUCUUAAUCUAAGCACCUGUGGCCCUGGAAAAAGCCUUUUAAGAAGUGGUUCAUUUUGCUUUACACAAUAGGUCUGUUCCAACAGUUCUGUGUAAGCCAGAUGCUAUUUUUUUUUUUUUUUUAAUGCAUUUGGACUGCUGACUAUUUCAAAGCAGCCAUGAUUGCUUCUUUUGUAAAGCAAGCAACUUCCCUCUAUUUUAGCUGUUUUGAAUAUUUGGAUUUUCACAUAUUGGGCUUACCCAGAGUGGAACACAACUCCAGGGCUUGUGGCUGACGCUGGGUUGAUGUCUGCAUCUGUGCUGUGUGUGUGGUGUGGCUGGCCAGUAGGUGAGUAUUCCUGCGUGUGUGAGUGAAGCCACUCCCAGGCUGGUGCUCUCCUCCUGUGCCCGGUGACUGCCCAGUGGCAGCCCAGCUGCCCUUCACUCCCACCUGCUGCCAAAGUCCCUGUACUAAUGGGAUUACAAAAACAAAAGUGGAAAAAGAUUUUUCGUAAACUUUGUUUUAUAUUAAAAAAAAAAAUCCAUAAGUCUGUGUGUGUUAAACAUGAGGUUCUGCCUCUGUGGCUGUGUUUGAAAAAAUAAAGUUUUAUUAGAAUAAUCCAUUUUCCCAAGCAAUCUUGUGUA
rnacentral:lncRNA from 1 species